rnacentral:misc_RNA from 1 species
UGGUUCCCGCAUCGAUGAAGAACGCAGCGAAACGCGAUAGUUAAUGUGAAUUGCAGAAUUCAGUGAAUCAUCGAGUCUUUGAACGCACAUUGCGCCUUUUGGUAUUCCGAGAGGCACGCCUGUCUGAGCGUCAGCAAAACCCUUCGGCGGUCAAUUUUUAUAAUUGCGGCCGGUGCUGGCGGUGGGCGGUCCCCCAUUGGGGGACUCCCCCGCUUAAACCUGACGGCGGGGCAGCUUGAGUAGGCCGCGGCAAUAGUAGAAAUAUUCUUUGUCUAGGGCUCUCCGGCUACCUCCAAAAAUGAAUGGUUCCCCCCCAAGGGGAUACCUGACUUUUGACCUCAGAUCAGACGAGGAUACCCGCUGA